AGUGAACGCUGGCGGUAGGCCUAACACAUGCAAGUCGAACGGCAGCACAGUAAGAGCUUGCUCUUACGGGUGGCGAGUGGCGGACGGGUGAGGAAUACAUCGGAAUCUACUUUUUCGUGGGGGAUAACGUAGGGAAACUUACGCUAAUACCGCAUACGACCUACGGGUGAAAGCAGGGGAUCUUCGGACCUUUCGCGAUUGAAUGAGCCGAUGUCGGAUUAGCUAGUUGGCGUGGUAAAGGCCCACCAAGGCAACGAUCCGUAGCUGGUCUGAGAGGAUGAUCAGCCACACUGGAACUGAGACACGGUCCAGACUCCUACGGGAGGCAGCAGUGGGGAAUAUUGGACAAUGGGCGCAAGCCUGAUCCAGCCAUACCGCGUGGGUGAAGAAGGCCUUCGGGUUGUAAAGCCCUUUUGUUGGGAAAGAAAAGCAGCAGGUUAAUACCCCGCUGUUCUGACGGUACCCAAAGAAUAAGCACCGGCUAACUUCGUG
rnacentral:rRNA from 1 species